GUGCUGUGAUGAUGCCGUAUCUUGGUUUCGCUCGAGUCUGAGUGUUUGUGAUGAUCCUUUUCUCUUGGCUGUCUGAGCUC
rnacentral:snoRNA from 1 species